rnacentral:rRNA from 1 species
AGCAGCCGCGGUAAUUCCAGCUACAAUAGCGUAUAUUAAAGUUGUUGCAGUUAAAAAGCUCGUAGUUGAAUUUCGGGGUUAGUAGGUUGGUCAUGCCUCUGGUAUGUACUGGUCUCACUGAUUCCUCCUUCCUGAUGAACCUUAAUCCCAUUAAUUUGGUGUUUUGGGGAAUUUGGACUGUUACUUUGAAAAAUUAGAGUGUUUAAAGCAAGCUAACGCUUGAAUACAUUAGCAUGGAAUAAUGAAAUAGGACGUUCGAUCCUAUCUUGUUGGUUUCUAGGAUUGACGUAAUGAUUAAUAGGGAUAGUUGGGGGCAUUAGUAUUCAAUUGUCAGAGGUGAAAUUCUUGGAUUUAUUGAAGACUAACUACUGCGAAAGCAUUUUUGCCAAGGAUGUUUUCAUUAAUCAAGAACGAAAGUUAGGGGAUCGAAGACGAUCAGAUACCGUCGUAGUCUUAACCAUAAACUAUGCCGAACUAGGGAUCGGAUGAUGUUAAUUUUUAAUG